rnacentral:rRNA from 1 species
ACUCCUACGGGAGGCAGCAGUGGGGAAUAUUGCACAAUGGGCGAAAGCCUGAUGCAGCAACGCCGCGUGAGGGAUGACGGCCUUCGGGUUGUAAACCUCUUUUAGUAGGGAAGAAGCGAAAGUGACGGUACCUGCAGAAAAAGCACCGGCUAACUACGUGCCAGCAGCCGCGGUAAUACGUAGGGUGCAAGCGUUGUCCGGAAUUAUUGGGCGUAAAGAGCUCGUAGGCGGUUUGUCGCGUCUGCUGUGAAAUCCCGAGGCUCAACCUCGGGSUUGCAGUGGGUACGGGCAGACUAGAGUGCGGUAGGRGAGAUUGGAAUUCCUGGUGUAGCGGUGGAAUGCGCAGAUAUCARGAGGAACASCGAUGGCGAAGGCAGAUCUCUGGGCCGUAACUGACGCUGAGGAGCGAAAGCGUGGGGAGCGAACAGGAUUAGAUACCCUGGUAGUCCACGCCGUAAACGUUGGGCGCUAGAUGUAGGGACCUUUCCACGGUUUCUGUGUCGUAGCUAACGCAUUAAGCGCCCCGCCUGGGGAGUACGGCCGCAAGGCUAAAACUCAAAGGAAUUGACGG